AACGUAGGAGGCAAGCGUUAUCCGGAGUGACUGGGCGUAAAGAGCGUGUAGGCGGUUGAGUAAGUUGCGUGUGAAAGCGCCCGGCUAAACUGGGCGAGGACAGGCAAGACUGCUGAGCUAGAGGCCGAUAGAGGGGUGCGGAAUUCCGGGUGUAGCGGUGAAAUGUGUAGAGAUACGGAGGAACACCAGUGGUGCAGACGGCGCCCUGGAUCGGACCUGACGCUGAGACGCGAAAGCGUGGGAGCGAACGGG
rnacentral:rRNA from 1 species